CGGUCAAUACCAGGCUCUCUAGGGCUCAGGAAGCCAGCCGGAGGGUCCAGCUGGGGGCUCCGGGGGUGUCUGGGGGUUGGCAGGGUCGGCGAGCCCUGGGGGCCCUGCGGGGGGCCCUCAGUUCUCACUGGAAGUCAGCGUGCCGCCCUCCUGACCUGUCACGGUUUGUCGUGAAGAUGUUGUGUGAUGAACACAAAAGGCAGGCAUGCAGCAAGCACUCAGUGAACGUUGGCGGCACCAAUGGUCAGAAGCCAGCUCCCGUGUCACAUGGAGGAUGGGAGCUCUGCUCGGCGCAGAAGGAAGAGGGACGUGCGACUUGUAGUCAGAAGGGCUUUCCCGCCAGAGAGCCAGACGGGGCUCUCCCGCCCGGUCUGCUCUGUGUGUCCACACCGGCUCAGGGCCCUCGGAGGUGCGCUGCAGAGCUGGAGUCAGGGUUGGAAACAGUUGGCUCUGCUUGCAAACGCAGGAUGAACGAUGAUCGUGGGCAUCUGGGACCCUUCCCCUUCUCCCCCCAGAGCCCUCCUGCGCACGGCCUGUCUCCCAACUCCCUGGCUCUCUUGGCCACCAAGGCCAUGUUUUUCCCACUCUGAGCUGCUCCCCAGACUCCUGGGAGAGCAGAGCAGGCCUCUGCCAGGCUUCGCACAGCACUCAGCACUGGCUGUGGUGACUGGGACGACCACGUGAUGACCGUGACGGGGCAGGAGCCCCCAGAAAGGGCAGGCAGCCCGGGGAAGUGAGGCCACCAGCUGCCCGGUCCCGCAGCUGUGCUGGGCACCAGGACCCGCCUGCAGAGCUGUGAGCCCCUCUGUUUUACAGACUGUUCUGACGGCUGCAUCUCUGCAGGAGCCGGGAAAGCUUUCGGCUGUGAUGAGUUUCCACAUUUAAGGCAGGGUUCCUUAAAAUGCCACCAGAAACGGACCCCGAACCUCCCCACACCCCUGCCCGGGCUUUAUGAUCAGGGGCUUCUUUCUCCCUGGAAAUAGGAGUCUGUUGACUGACCCAGAAAAAUACUUCCCCAAGGGGGCCACUGGACCCAGUGGGGUGAGGGGACCUGGCCACCCCCCUUCCUCGCCUUCCUGCCUCUCAUUCCCUGUAGGACCAGCCACGGGCAGAAGUGGGAGUACCAGCCCUGUCCUCAGGGGCGAUGUCGAGGUCAGCCGGGUGGUGAGGGUCCCUCUGUGGGCAUGUCUGUGUGAGGAGGGGGCAGGGCACCGGCGUUGGGGCUCAGAGCAAACUCCCUGGCUCCAGUUCAUUUUCUUCUAAGAUGAGUCCGUGUGAGUCCUCCGCAUGGGGGAGGCUUCUGCGGGUGGAGAAGCCCUUGUCACCCCCUGCACACACGGAGGCGUGGAGAGGGAGGCGGAGGAAGGAGCGGGAUGGUCUUUGCCCUCAGAGCAGGAGGGUGACCGCUGAGGGCUCGGAGCUCAGCCUGGACCCCCAGCACUCCUCCCCUCCGGUGCCCCUUGCUCUCGGGGCCUUCCUUUACCUCCCCCCGGAGCUCUGGGCUGGUGGGGGCUCAUUGCAGGGCAGGUCCAAGGCCUCCCUGCUGACCCGAAGCUGCACUAACCCUCAUAGGGGCUCCGGUGGUGCCACAUGGCCAGGUCCCCGAAGUAUACUGCGUCUCCAUGAUGGCGAAGCUGUCACCAUUCUGGAUGGGACGUCUCUGGAAGCAAAUUGCUCUCUGCUGACAUCAUGGCAAUGAAAUCUAACUUUCUUU